CUUCUCAUUAUAGUUAAAAUUUUAGACAACAGGUUUGGAAAAUAAACAUAAAUUUAACAUUUGUAAAAUAUGUACUCUAGUUAACACAAGCUCAAUGAUAUACAAAAACAGAAGUUUUGAAUAUUACUGUUAAUCGGUAUAUUUUCGUAUUCAAUUAAAGUACCUAUAUUUAUAAACCACUAGAGCACUCCUGAGUAUUAGAAAAAAUGUAAAAAACAUAGCAGUUGGAUAAAAAGAAGAAAACAAAUUUACUUCAUCAAAAAAAGAAUCGU